rnacentral:rRNA from 1 species
CGAGUGGCGGACGGGUGAGUAACACGUAGGUAACCUGCCCAGAAGCGGGGGACAACAUUUGGAAACAGAUGCUAAUACCGCAUAACAGCGUUGUUCGCAUGAACAACGCUUAAAAGAUGGCUUCUCGCUAUCACUUCUGGAUGGACCUGCGGUGCAUUAGCUUGUUGGUGGGGUAACGGCCUACCAAGGCGAUGAUGCAUAGCCGAGUUGAGAGACUGAUCGGCCACAAUGGGACUGAGACACGGCCCAUACUCCUACGGGAGGCAGCAGUAGGGAAUCUUCCACAAUGGGCGCAAGCCUGAUGGAGCAACACCGCGUGAGUGAAGAAGGGUUUCGGCUCGUAAAGCUCUGUUGUUAAAGAAGAACACGUAUGAGAGUAACUGUUCAUACGUUGACGGUAUUUAACCAGAAAGUCACGGCUAACUACGUGCCAGCAGCCGCGGUAAUACGUAGGUGGCAAGCGUUAUCCGGAUUUAUUGGGCGUAAAGAGAGUGCAGGCGGUCUUCUAAGUCUGAUGUGAAAGCCUUCGGCUUAACCGGAGAAGUGCAUCGGAAACUGGAUAACUUGAGUGCAGAAGAGGGUAGUGGAACUCCAUGUGUAGCGGUGGAAUGCGUAGAUAUAUGGAAGAACACCAGUGGCGAAGGCGGCUACCUGGUCUGCAACUGACGCUGAGACUCGAAAGCAUGGGUAGCGAACAGGAUUAGAUACCCUGGUAGU